rnacentral:rRNA from 1 species
GACGAACGCGGCGGCGUGCUAAUACAUGCAAGUAGAACGCUGAAGAGAGGAGCUUGCUCUUCUGGAUGAGUUGCGAACGGGUGAGUAACGCGUAGGUAACCUGCCUUGUAGCGGGGGAUAACUAUUGGAAACGAUAGCUAAUACCGCAUAACAAUGGAUGACACAUGUCAUUUAUUUGAAAGGGGCAAUUGCUCCACUACAAGAUGGACCUGCGUUGUAUUAGCUAGUAGGUGAGGUAACGGCUCACCUAGGCGACGAUACAUAGCCGACCUGAGAGGGUGAUCGGCCACACUGGGACUGAGACACGGCCCAGACUCCUACGGGAGGCAGCAGUAGGGAAUCUUCGGCAAUGGGGGCAACCCUGACCGAGCAACGCCGCGUGAGUGAAGAAGGUUUUCGGAUCGUAAAGCUCUGUUGUAAGUCAAGAACGAGUGUGAGAGUGGAAAGUUCACACUGUGACGGUAGCUUACCAGAAAGGGACGGCUAACUACGUGCCAGCAGCCGCGGUAAUACGUAGGUCCCGAGCGUUGUCCGGAUUUAUUGGGCGUAAAGCGAGCGCAGGCGGUUUGAUAAGUCUGAAGUUAAAGGCUGUGGCUCAACCAUAGUUCGCUUUGGAAACUGUCAAACUUGAGUGCAGAAGGGGAGAGUGGAAUUCCAUGUGUAGCGGUGAAAUGCGUAGAUAUAUGGAGGAACACCGGUGGCGAAAGCGGCUCUCUGGUCUGUAACUGACGCUGAGAAGCGAAAGCAUGGGGAGCGAACAGG